rnacentral:rRNA from 1 species
AUGUGCUGGCUCGUCCUCAUCAUCUCUCCGCAGCGCCAACGCCAGAAACCACCGCGCUCGCCGCAGCUCCAGGCCUCCAACGUCGAGGCGAUCGACCGGUCUGACGACCUGUUCUUAAACUUCUUAUUCAUCGCCAUGGCAUGGAGGAAGAAGAACGGCGGCGAGUCGUUGUCCCCCGGCGCCUCGCCGUGCCGCGACGACGAGCGGGAGAAGGUCCCGAGAGGGCACGUCCCGAUGGUCACCGGCUGCGGCGCGCGCGUGGUGGUGCCGGUGAGGCUGCUCCGGGAGCCAUGCAUCGCGGAGCUGCUUGACAUGGCGGCGCAGCAGUACGGGUAUGGCCAGCCGGGCGUGCUGCGUAUCCCGUGCGACGCCGGACAUUUCCGCCGGGUCGUCGACGGUGCGCUGCACAGAGCCGACUAG